rnacentral:ribozyme from 1 species
AUACUGUCAUAGUUCCCAAACAUAAUCAGAUCUACAGAACACCAAAAAAACAAGCACAGCACAACACAACAAUCCACGGUCACUAUGAUGAAGAAAGAACUUUCGUUCGUGUUGGCGGCAAUUAUUGUUUUG